UCCGAUAUGGUGUAGUGGCUAACAUUAUCGCCUCUCAGUAAUGGUCGCGAUAGCCCGGGGUUCAAUUCCCCGUGUCGGAA
rnacentral:tRNA from 1 species